AGUGAACGCUGGCGAUAGGCCUAACACAUGCAAGUCGAACGGCAGCACAGAGGAGCUUGCUCCUUGGGUGGCGAGUGGCGGACGGGUGAGGAAUACAUCGGAAUCUACUCUGUCGUGGGGGAUAACGUAGGGAAACUUACGCUAAUACCGCAUACGACCUACGGGUGAAAGCAGGGGAUCUUCGGACCUUGCGCGAUUGAAUGAGCCGAUGUUGGAUUAGCUAGUUGGCGGGGUAAAGGCCCACCAAGGCGACGAUCCGUAGCUGGUCUGAGAGGAUGAUCAGCCACACUGGAACUGAGACACGGUCCAGACUCCUACGGGAGGCAGCAGUGGGGAAUAUUGGACAAUGGGCGCAAGCCUGAUCCAGCCAUACCGCGUGGGUGAAGAAGGCCUUCGGGUUGUAAAGCCCUUUUGUUGGGAAAGAAAUCCAUCUGGUUAAUACCCGGGUGGGAUGACGGUACCCAAAGAAUAAGCACCGGCUAACUUCGUGCCAGCAGCCGCAGUAA
rnacentral:rRNA from 1 species